rnacentral:rRNA from 1 species
UACGUAGGGGGCAAGCGUUGUCCGGAAUCAUUGGGCGUAAAGCGCGUGUAGGCGGCCCGGUAAGUCCGCUGUGAAAGUCGGGGGCUCAACCCUCGAAUGCCGGUGGAUACUGUCGGGCUAGAGUGCGGAAGAGGCGAGUGGAAUUCCUGGUGUAGCGGUGGAAUGCGCAGAUAUCAGGAAGAACACCCGUGGCUAAGGCGGCUCUCUAGUACGGUACUGACGCUGAGACGCGAAAGCGUGGGGAGCGAACAGG